rnacentral:rRNA from 1 species
CACGUAGUUAGCCGGUGCUUCUUCUGCAGGUACCGUCACUUUCGCUUCUUCCCUGCUGAAAGAGGUUUACAACCCGAAGGCCGUCAUCCCUCACGCGGCGUCGCUGCAUCAGGCUUUCGCCCAUUGUGCAAUAUUCCCCACUGCUGCCUCCCGUAGGAGUCUGGGCCGUGUCUCAGUCCCAGUGUGGCCGGUCACCCUCUCAGGCCGGCUACCCGUCGUCGCCUUGGUAGGCCAUUACCCCACCAACAAGCUGAUAGGCCGCGGGCUCAUCCUGCACCGCCGGAACUUUCCACACCCCAAGAUGCCUCGGAGUGUCGUAUCCGGUAUUAGACCCAGUUUCCCGGGCUUAUCCCAGAGUGCAGGGCAGAUUGCCCACGUGUUACUCACCCGUUCGCCACUAAUCCCCGGCCGAAACCGGUUCAUCGUUCGACUUGCAUGUGUUAAGCACGCCGCCAGCGUUCGUCCUGAGCCAGGAUCAAACUCU